rnacentral:lncRNA from 1 species
UCUAAAAUUAAUCUGUGCUUGCUCUUUUAUUACUUUUAGGCAAUAUGAAACUACCUAUAGACACCAAAUGAGGUCAAGGACCAUUGUACUUUCAUACUGGUGUCCUUUUGUGAGGCAUUUAAAAUCAAAAUACUCUGGCACAUAAAGGAAGCAGAUUUACACCUUCCUAGAAAGAAAAGCAGAAGUGACCAGUCACUGUUGCCAGGAGCAUUCUGCCUUUUUCAGAAGAACUUCUCAAGGAGCCCAGUUUCAGGUGGAAUAUUCAGGUGCCAUUCUGUAUUUCAGUGCAGCUGCUUUCAUUAGUGUUUAGAACAAUCCUGGAAUGCUCCUGGCAGUCGAGUUCCCUGUUCCACUGGUGCAGCUGCUCAGUUACAUGCCUGCUGCCCAUGGUGAGUGUGCUGUGAAAAUGCAUCAUGCCUCCUGCCACGUGGGAGAAGUGAUGUGUUUUAGUUUGCUGUUUUGCAGAAAACAUUGUUUGCCAUAUGUCUCAACAGAGCCUGCUUCUCUUUUUCAAGAAAUUGGCCAAGAAAUUUAAUUUGUGUUUUAGUCUUUUUUGCAUCCUGACUAGAGAUUGGCACGUGAAUUAUUUAAUUAAGCUGUGAAUAUUGCUGGGUAUUGCUAAGUUACACAAAUACUGUGUCAUUUAGCUAUUUAUGACUAACAAAACUAACAGUACAAAAAAAAACUAAUUAAAAGCUAAAUAAUCUUGGAGACUUUUGACCAGCUGUUAUAUAUCCAUACAACACCAUUCUGUUGAAUAAGGGAGCUAUUGUUGAGGCUUUUGACACAGAAAAGAAAAAAGAUGGGAAAAAAUUGUGAUAUUUUUCUUUUGGUUUUCCUCAUGUCCAAAAGAAAGCUGCAGCCUGUGGCAUUUCAGCUGGGCCUGGGGUGAGGGAACCACUGGCAGCUGCUCACACAGAAAUGUGCUGAACAGGAACCACACCAUAAACAAAAACACACUGGGCCUUCCAUGGGCAAAGCACCAGAGCAGAAUAUUAACCCCAGAACCUGCCUAGGUAGAAAUUCCUUUUGCUUGGGCAUAGCAGAUAACAAGGUUUUGUGCCUCUCUUUUUGGCAUGUGUGGUGCCACAGACUCCCCAGGAACCUUCCUUCAUUCUGCUGCUUAAUGAGCUGAUCUCUGGAGGGGCAGCUAUUUACUGAUUCACUGCUGGCUCACACCUUCAGCACAUGGUUUCUCUCACAGUGGUCCAGGAAACUCACUGCACCUCAAACCACAAGCACUGGCAAGAAUGCUCAUGCAGCCAUUGUGGGAUUUCCUCACUGUGCUGCAGAAAUUAUUUAAAAAUGGAAUAAUCCCUUCAAAUGGCUUCAGCAGUAAUGAGGGACUCAGGUACCUUAGAACAAACACAGUGUUGGAAACAAUACUGUUUUAAACAUCAGUACAUGCAAAAAAGGAUAGAAGUGAUUUAAAUGUCUGUCUCUUGUUUAUGCCUUGGACUGUAUGUACUUCACACCUCCUCACUUUUCAGGCUUACAUCUUUGAAUAGGAGGAGACCACCAUGUAUAGGCUAAAU